rnacentral:rRNA from 1 species
CAGCCGCCACGGUAAUACGUAGGGUGCGAGCGUUGUCCGGAAUUAUUGGGCGUAAAGAGCUUGUAGGUGGUUUGUCGCGUCUGCUGUGAAAAUCCGAGGCUCAACCUCGGGCUUGCAGUGGGUACGGGCAAACUAGAGUGUGGUAGGGGAGACUGGAAUUCCUGGUGUAGCGGUGGAAUGCGCAGAUAUCAGGAGGAACACCGAUGGCGAAGGCAGGUCUCUGGGCCAUUACUGACACUGAGAAGCGAAAGCAUGGGGAGCGAACAGGAUUAGAUACCCCUGUAGUCCCUGUCUCUUAUAC